UACGUAGGGUGCAAGCGUUGUCCGGAAUUAUUGGGCGUAAAGAGCUCGUAGGCGGUCUGUCGCGUCGGCUGUGAAAACCCGGAGCUCAACUCCGGGCCUGCAGUCGAUACGGGCAGACUGGAGUUCGGCAGGGGAGACUGGAAUUCCUGGUGUAGCGGUGAAAUGCGUAGAUAUCAGGAGGAACACCUGUGGCGAAAAGCGGCUCACUGGACCAUAACUGACGCUGAUGCACGAAAGCUAGGGGGAGCAAACAGG
rnacentral:rRNA from 1 species